GAAAUGCGAUAAGUAAUGUGAAUUGCAGAAUUCAGUGAAUCAUCGAAUCUUUGAACGCACCUUGCGCCCCUUGGCAUUCCGAGGGGCACGCCUGUUUGAGUGUCGUGAACUCCUCCACCCUCUACCUUUUUCGAAAGGCAUUGGGCUGGGAUUUGGGAGCUUGCGGGUCCCUGGCCGAUCCGCUCUCCUUGAAUGCAUUAGCGAAGCCCUAGCGGCCUUGGUGUGAUAGUCAUCUACGCCUCGGCUUAGCGAACAUGUGGGAGUCGCUUCCAAUCGUCUCGCAAGGGACAACACACUACCAACUUGACCUCAAAUCAGGCGGGACUACCCGCUGAACUUAA
rnacentral:misc_RNA from 1 species